GCGCUGAUCCGCGCCGUGCAUUCCUGUGGGCCUGGAGUUGGCAAGAGGGUCCCCAGCUGCUAUCCGGGAGGGACGGGCGGAGACGGCGUACGUGCUCUGCGUGAGUGCGUGGCGGUGCGCGUGCGCGAGGCGAGUGGGCGGUGAGGCCGGGUCCACGUGCGUCCCACCCGCGACCCCCGCGGGUUAGCGCCCAGCGGCUCCAUGACCCUAGACAGCCCGGCACCCGCACCCCUCCCCGAGCUGCCCGUCCGAUUCUCCGGUCCCACAGUGCCCGCAGCCUCGGCCGGCGUCCACGCAUUGCCAUGGUGACUGUGGGCAACUACUGCGAGGCCGAAGGGCCGGUGGGUCCGGCCUGGACGCAGCAUGGCCUGAGUCCCUGCUUCUUCUUCACGCUGGUGCCCUCUGCGCUGAUGGCCGUAGGGGCUCUGGCCUUGGUGCUGGCUCUUCUCUGCAAGCGUCGGGAGCAGCUCGCCGAUCCGCUGCCUUUGGGGGCCGGCCCUCGUGUGGCUCCCUACGUGCUGCAGCUGCUUUUGGCCGCACUUCAGGUGUUGCUGCCCCUAGCCGGGCUGGCUGGCCGGAUGGGCACUGCCCAGGGGGCCCGGCUGCCAAGCUACCUACUGCUGGCCUCCAUACUGGAGAGUCUGGCCAGCGCCUGUGGUCUGUGGCUGCUCGUGGUGGAACGGAGCCAGGCACGGCAGAGACUGGCAAUGGGCAUCUGGAUCAAGUUGAGGCACAGCCCGGGUCUCCUGCUCCUCUGGACUGUGGCGUUUGCAGCCGAGAACUUGGCUCUGGUGUCUUGGAACAGCCCGCAGUGGUGGUGGGCAAGGGCAGACUUGGGCCAGCAGGUUCAGUUUAGCCUGUGGGUGCUGCGAUAUGUCGUCUCUGGAGGGCUAUUUGUCCUGGGUCUGUGGGCCCCUGGGCUUCGUCCCCAGUCCUACACCUUGCAGGUUUAUGAAGAGGACCGAGAUGCAGAAAGGAGCCCGGUUCACUCAACAGACCAAGGGUCUACCUGGCGAGACCUUGGCAGGAAGCUCCGCCUACUGAGUGGCUACCUGUGGCCUCGGGGAAAUCCAGCUCUGCAGCUGGUUGUGCUGAUCUGCCUGGGGCUCAUGGGGUCGGAACGGGCACUCAACGUGUUGGUGCCCAUCUUCUACAGGGACAUUGUGAACUUACUGACCCAGAAGGCACCUUGGAGCUCCCUGGCCUGGACUGUUACCAUCUAUGUCUUUCUCAAGUUCCUCCAGGGAGGUGGCACUGGCAGCACAGGCUUCGUGAGCAACCUGCGAACAUUCCUGUGGAUCCGGGUGCAGCAGUUCACGUCGCGGCGGGUGGAGCUGCGCCUCUUCUCCCACCUGCACGAGCUCUCACUGCGCUGGCACCUGGGGCGCCGCACAGGGGAGGUGCUUCGGAUCGUGGACCGGGGCACAUCCAGUGUCACAGGGCUGCUAAGCUACCUGGUGUUCAACAUCAUCCCCACUUUGGCCGACAUCAUCAUUGGCAUCAUCUACUUCAGCAUGUUCUUCAAUGCCUGGUUUGGCCUCAUUGUGUUCCUGUGCAUGAGUCUUUACCUCUUCCUGACCAUUGUGGUCACUGAGUGGAGAGCCAAGUUUCGCCGGGCUAUGAACACACAGGAGAACGCUACCCGGGCACGAGCCGUGGACUCUCUGCUAAACUUCGAGACGGUGAAGUAUUACAAUGCUGAGGGUUAUGAAGUGGAACGCUAUCGAGAGGCUAUCAUCAAAUAUCAGGGUUUGGAGUGGAAGUCAAGCGCUUCACUGGUUGUACUAAAUCAGACUCAGAACUUAGUGAUUGGACUCGGGCUCCUCUCUGGCUCCCUGCUUUGUGCAUACUUUGUCACUGAGCAGAAGCUACAGGUCGGAGACUUUGUGCUCUUUGGCACCUACAUCAUCCAGCUGUACAUGCCCCUCAACUGGUUUGGCACCUACUACAGGAUGAUCCAGACCAACUUCAUUGACAUGGAGAACAUGUUUGACCUGCUGAAAGAGGAGACAGAAGUGAAGGACCUUCCUGGAGCAGGGCCCCUUCACUUUCAGAAGGGCCAGAUUGAGUUUGAAAAUGUGCACUUCAGUUACACCGAUGGACGGGAGACCCUGCAGGAUGUGUCCUUCACUGUGAUGCCUGGUCAGACGCUGGCCCUGGUGGGCCCAUCUGGGGCAGGGAAGAGCACAAUUUUACGCCUGCUAUUUCGCUUCUAUGACAUCAACUCGGGCUGUAUCCGAAUAGAUGGGCAGGACAUUUCACAGGUGACCCAGAUCUCUCUCCGGUCUCAUAUCGGAGUCGUGCCCCAGGACACCGUCCUCUUCAAUGACACCAUCGCCAACAAUAUUCGCUACGGCCGUGUCACAGCUGGGAACCAUGAGGUCGAGGCUGCUGCUCAAGCUGCAGGCAUCCAUGACACCAUUAUGGCUUUCCCUGAAGAAACCAUGUCUCUGGUGUGUGACUUGAGGGCGGUGGGCAAUACCCACAGGGUACGAGACGCAGGUGGGCGAGCGGGGACUGAAGCUGAGUGGCGGGGAGAAACAGCGUGUCGCCAUCGCCCGCACCAUUCUCAAGGCUCCGGACAUUAUUCUGCUGGAUGAAGCAACAUCAGCGCUGGAUACAUCUAAUGAGAGGGCCAUCCAGGCUUCUCUGGCCAAAGUCUGCGCCAACCGCACCACCAUCAUAGUUGCACACAGGCUCUCAACUGUGGUCCACGCUGACCAGAUCCUCGUCAUCAAGGACGGCUGCAUUGUGGAGAGAGGACAGCACGAGGCUCUGUUGUCCCGAGGAGGGGUGUAUGCUGACAUGUGGCAGCUGCAGCAACGGGGACAGGAAGGAGUCUCUGAAGACACUAAGCCCCAGAAAAUGGCACGGUGACAAAAGUUGUGGCCACAUCCUUCUCAAAGGCUAAUUCAGAGGGAAAUAAGAUAUAUCCCUUUUCCCUGGCUUAUUUCACCUUGGUCUUGGGGUUUGGUGUUAGGUAUAGUGAGGGAAAGGGACCUUUCAGAAAAGCCCAUUUUGAGGAAAUAAAAGCAUGGCCUGGA